UCCCAUUUGUACGAAUGAGCAACUUCGUCGGCUAUAACCCCCUUGUUGCUGGAUGGGGAGCAUUAAGAUAUAGACGACCACGACGUAAUGCAUUAAUGGAAGUACAAAUGCCAGUGAUUAAGAACGCCGAAUGCAAAAUAGCUUAUUCCAAAUUUCCUAAUGCACCUGAUAUCACUGAUGGUAUAAUAUGCGCCGAACAUGCUCAGGGUGGAGAGGAUUCUUGUACGGUAAUUAAGUUACAGAGUUACUACAAACUAUACGGUAUCUGAAGACACGUCGAUUCGAAUUAACAUCAAAUCGACGUCUUAAACAUUAAAAAUAAUAGAUAAACACAAUUUAAUAGUUUUGCCCACUUCUCACACCUCGUUAUGGUAUUUAAUCUAAUUUCCUUCUAAUCUUAGUUUUGCUCAAAAUACAUAUAACAUGUACGUUAUAAAUUGGAGUAUUUCAAUACACAAAUCAAUAGAAGAUUAUUACUGUAUAUAAGUAUAAUUUCAAUACAAUUCGAUCGAUAUAUUUCAGUAUCUUUGAUUAAAAAUUUAACGAUCCUUUCAGGCUGACCGCGGCGGACCACUGCUGAUACAACAUGAAUUAACCUCGUAUUUAAUAGGUAUUGUGUCUUAUGCUUAUAAGUGCGGCACAGCUGGGUAUCCCAGCGUUUACACUAGGGUCACAUCGUACCUUGACUUCAUUCUCCAAGCGAUGCAAUAAUAUGAUAUUACUGUUCCAUAAAUAUCAUUGUGUAAAAAACGUAAAGUUGGAUUUUCUUAUUGUGGAGAUAAGAAACAGCUCAAAUUUACAUUGUUUUGUACGUUACAAAUUAUAGGCUUAAAAUGUACGAAAUGUAACUUUGAAACGACACUAAUUUUUUACGCACGAUAAACCUCCACGACUUAGAUUAUAGAUUCCUAUACGACUCUCAGUAAAAAUUUAUCCGCACUCCAGAUAGUUAAAACUUCUGUCGACCGUAUUGAUCCAUCUGCACUCUUCGUAUGACGUCAAUAUCUGUUCAGUGCUGCUGCGCAGGUUUCUUUGUGUUACGUCAAUUCGUUUGUGACCGUUGCGCGAGUAAUGGCGCUUUGCAAUGGUGAUUUGCAGGAAAACAGUGCAGGAUGCUGUGAUUCGUUUCUUGUGGUCGGAGGUUAUGUUUGAUGCCUAUAUUUAUCAAAGAUUUAAUGCACAUUAUGGAGAAAGUGUUUUGUCACGAAGUGUGUUUGAAUGGGCACAAAAGUUCAAAGAAGAUCGCACGAGUGUUAUGAAAAAACAGCUGGACGCCCGUCCACAUCCACGAUGACAACAUUGAACGUGCUCAUGAACUUAUGCUCUAUGGAAUAGACGAGUGACACUGGAUAAUGUGGCAAAUCAUUUGCAAAUCAGCCACGGCUCUGCUUAUGCAAUAGUGCACGACAGAUUUGGAUUUUAAAAAGUUUGUGCGAGAUGGAUGCCGAAAAAGCUGAUGAAAAGGUGAAGACGACGAUGCAUUCGUGGUUCGCAGCUCAGCCCAAAACAUUUUUUAAUGAGAAAAUACAAAGGUCCUUCGGCAAAUGGACAAAGUGUAUACAGAAAUCGAGUGAUUAUGUCAAAAAAUGAUGUAUGUCUUUUUUGACAAUUGCUUAAAAUAAAUUCUACACCGACAGAGCGGGCUGUUAAUCUAGAGGCUGGAGUACAAAGAAGUGGCACAAUGAUGUGGGCUGAUGACAUUUAUAAUUAUCAAGGAAUCACCCCUACAUUCGCUCAGAAUUUUAAUGAAACUGUCCCUUGGGAAGGAAGAACUGAUACCUUGAUAUCACGGUUUGUACAUCCUAUAUAUACGACAAAUUUUAGAACAUUAUAUAACGAAGAACCAGAUCGUCGUGGCCAUGUGAUGUGAAUAAAAGGACUUGAAUUUGAUGAUAUUUUUAUAAUGUUAGAUAACAUAACUAAGUAUCUUCACAGUAAGAUAGGAUGACAUGGUUUACAUGAUCUUAAUGUUGUUCACUCGAGUGAUGAUAUUAUAAGGAAAAGCGUAAUAUCACAGGAUAUUUAUGUUUAGUAACCAGUAAUUCAGAGAUUGGUAUUCAUGGUUACUAUAACGAGGCUGUAGAAACGCACCCUUUCUUCUUUGCAAAUGGUCCUGUAUUUAUGUCUAAGCCGAAACUGGAACCUCUGAAUAAUUUAGAUUUAUUCUUGUUAUUUUCUAAAAUACUUAUCUACAGUAUAUCAUAAGGAAUGAUACCGUAUCGCACCUAAUCAAGUGCCUUAAGAAACAUCAACAGGAUAUCA